GACGAACCGUGCGAACGUUAUUCGGAAUCACUGGGCUUAAAGCGCGUGUAGGCGGGUGGGAACGUCGGCCGCUGAAAUCCCCCGGCUCAACCGGGGAAGGGGCGCCGAAACGGCCCGCCUGGAGGGACGUAGGGGGAGCUGGAACUUCCGGGUGGAGCGGUGAAAUGCGUUGAGAUCGGAAGGAACGCCCGUGGCGAAAGCGAGCUCCUGGACGUUUUCGUGACGCUGAGACGCGAAAGCCAGGGGAGCGAACGGG
rnacentral:rRNA from 1 species